GAAUCAUGGCUCAGGACGAACGCUGGCGGCGUGCUUAACACAUGCAAGUCGAACGAUGAAGGAAGAAGCUUGCUUCUUCUGGAUUAGUGGCGAACGGGUGAGUAACACGUGAGCAAUCUGCCCUUGACUCUGGGAUAAGCGUUGGAAACGACGUCUAAUACCGGAUACGACCCUCGGAGGCAUCUCCUGGGGGUGGAAAGAAUUUUGGUCAAGGAUGAGCUCGCGGCCUAUCAGCUAGUUGGUGAGGUAAUGGCUCACCAAGGCGACGACGGGUAGCCGGCCAGAGAGGGUGACCGGCCACACUGGGACUGAGACACGGCCCAGACUCCUACGGGAGGCAGCAGUGGGGAAUAUUGCACAAUGGGCGAAAGCCUGAUGCAGCAACGCCGCGUGAGGGAUGACGGCCUUCGGGUUGUAAACCUCUUUUAGUAGGGAAGAAGCGAAAGUGACGGUACCUGCAGAAAAAGCACCGGCUAACUACGUGCCAGCAGCCGCGGUAAUACGUAGGGUGCAAGCGUUGUCCGGAAUUAUUGGGCGUAAAGAGCUCGUAGGCGGUUUGUCGCGUCUGCUGUGAAAUCUGGGGGCUCAACCCCCAGCCUGCAGUGGGUACGGGCAGACUAGAGUGCGGUAGGGGAGAUUGGAAUUCCUGGUGUAGCGGUGGAAUGCGCAGAUAUCAGGAGGAACACCGAUGGCGAAGGCAGAUCU
rnacentral:rRNA from 1 species